rnacentral:rRNA from 2 species
CAGCCGCCGCGGUAAAACCAGCACCUCAAGUGGUCAGGAUGAUUAUUGGGCCUAAAGCAUCCGUAGCCGGCUCUGUAAGUUUUCGGUUAAAUCUGUACGCUUAACGUACAGGCUGCCGGGAAUACUGCAAAGCUAGGGAGUGGGAGAAGUAGACGGUACUCGGUAGGAAGUGGUAAAAUGCUUUGAUCUAUCGAUGACCACCUGUGGCGAAGGCGGUCUACUAGAACACGUCCGACGGUGAGGGAUGAAAGCUGGGGGAGCAAACCGGAUUAGAUACCCGGGUAGUCCCAGCUGUAAACUAUGCAAACUCAGUGAUGCAUUGGCUUGUGGCCAAUGCAGUGCUGCAGGGAAGCCGUUAAGUUUGCCGCCUGGGAAGUACGUGCGCAAGUAUGAAACUUAAAGGAAUUGGCGGGGGAGCAC